CCAGUUAAACACAAAAAGUUUCCAGUUACAACACAAAAACAUCAGCUCUAGAGCUGAAGUUUCCAGUUACAACAUAAAAACUUCAGCUCUAGAGCUGAAUUCGCCAGUUACAACACAAAAACUUCAGCUCUAGAGCUGAACUUCAUGCCCGGCUACUAGAAUGCUGAAGUUUUGCGUGAUUGCCUUUGCUACUUCAGCCCCAUUUGCUGAAGUUAUGCGAAAAAGCGGGUACGCUUGCAAUAUUUUUUGCAAAGCGGGAACAAGUUAAAAUAUAACACAAAAGCGGGUAUAGAUGCAAAUGCCCCAGCAGCCUGGGCACAUCCUGCUAAGCCUUAAAUAAACUAUCAGCUGGGUUCACUAUUAGAGAUCAAAUUCAAUUUAAGGGAACUCUACUAAUUUGGGCUUGCAGAGUAACCAGGACCAAUGCACAAUUUUAAUUCAGAAACAGAUUCUCAUAAGACUAUCACUAUAAAGCUAUAGAAUCAAAUAUGCAUGUAUUUAACUACAACAGGUUUAAAAUAGUACAACAGGAUCAACUAUUAAAUUAACUUAUCAAUACAAAAGAGGUAAAUAAAUUAAAUCAAUGCAAGUCAUUACCUAACUACAACCCAACGAGUUCCAUUCCUUUUAUAAAUAAGGAAGCAGAACUGUACAUUAUUGCUCCUAACCACCUUCUUCAAACAUUAUCCAGAAAGAGAAAAAAAUGAUUUAGGCUAGUGACUUUUUUAAUUCCCUUGUUGAUCUUGAUUUACAAUGAGAUAGCCACUAGGAUACUCUUAUAAAUUACUUGACCACCAGCAGUAGCUAAACAUAUAAAUGCAAACAAGAUUAGUCUAACUGUUGAGUAAUUCCAGAGUUUACUCAAAGAACAAUUCCAUUUUAAAAACCGAAAAUAUAAACACAAACUGAUUCACAAAUCAUCCCCUACAAACACCAUUUCAAGCAUGAACCACAUAUUCAAGGAAAUAAGUCAUUAUACAGGGAACAAUCAAUCAAACAUGGAGAUGUUUUGAGCAUGAAAGAACCUUUAAACUAGAUCAAUGGGCUAUAUAUGAUAUUAGACUUGAAUCAUGACUAAACUACAAGAUAACAUGUAAUUGAAAUUAUUUACGAGCAACAGCAGGAUCAACAAAGUAAAACUCCUCAUUUCAGGUUGUGUAAACGUAAAAACAUCACACCAACACCUCUGAACCUCUUAAGCUCAUAUUGACACAUAAAUUAAUAAUGAGUUUGAACCAAACCAGUCAACAUAGCCUACAUAUUCAGCUUCAAAUUAAUUAGCAGAAUCGUAUAGCCAUCAAGAGAAACAUAGAUGAAUCAGAUCUAAGCACACCAACAUCAGAAACACAUAGAAAUAGAUGUAGAUAGGGCAUCAAUAUAUUAAUUCUGUAUUUCCACAUUCACCAAAGUUACAAGAAGGAAUAUCACAUACCUACUUGUGAAAGACAGUCAACAAAAGCCAAAUAAAGGCUGAAAACUGAAGAAUAAGCUCAGCAAACUCAGACAAAACAUAAGCAAGCUAACAAAAGAUCAAUAAUGAAAUCCCACAAUGAAACUUGACCUCAAUUCCAAAUCAGCUUCAGAAAAUCAAGGUUGAUCUAGAAAAGAAACCAAACUUAUGACACCUUUUUUUUCAACCAAUAUAUGAAAGAAACUGAAACUUGUAAAAGAAAAUUUCUAAGAUAAAAUUCUGCCUCCAAAGCAAUCUAAAGGUGAAAGAAAAGAAGCUGAAUUUCAGACAGAGGUUUUUCACGUGGAUAAUAUGUGUGUAGAUCUGUCUGUUUGAGUGAUAUAUGACCCUUUAUAUAGAAUAUAAGAGUGUGCUUUUGUGAGGAAAAAUCAUAGGGGUGUGAGGGAAUCUUUUGGGAAUUCUGUUAGCUCUUUUGUACCAGAAAAUGGACAGAUAUCUCAACAGCUAUCUAUACAGAUUUUUCUCAUGUAUUUUAGGUCCAUUUACUUCUGAACUUACUCAUUUCUUACCCCAAUCUGACGUAGUUUUUAGUUAUUUUAUUACACUUUAGUCUUUUUUCUAGAAACUUCCUAGACAAUUCCAAACUUAGACUCCUUGAUUUUUGUUUCCAAUUAACCCCCACAAAGUUUCCGUUAUUACCCUUUCACUCUCCCAGAUUCCAAUCAGCAUUCAAUCAUCAGAAAUUAAACAAUUAAGGGCUAAACAAAGAUUAAAAACAACAAAAACAACUUAUUAAAUAAACCUAGUUAAACCAACUAAAUUGAUUAAUAUUGAUUUAAUUAACCUAAAGCAAAUGACUAAACUAGUGCAAUGAACUAAUUAGUCCAACUUUCACUGAAUUUAAUCAAAUCACUAAACUAAUCUAAGCAUAAAUUAACACCUAAAUUCAAAACAUAAAGAAAAAGAAAAACCGCAAAAGAAGAAAACGAAAAGAAAAAUAGAAACAGAGGAAUAGGGAAAAUGAGAUACAGAUUUUUGCCGAGAUGAAGGAGCGAUUGAGACGAAUCGAUAAAUAAUGAUGGCGACGAGGCUUUGGUCGGUGAGUGGUAAGUUGGCUGGAAUCCAGCGACCUUGAAAUGAUCUAAAAUUGGUAUCAAUCGAUUAUUCUUGUGGAAGAACAGUUGAUCAUUACGAAUUUUAGGCCAAACGAGCCAGAAACUCAAAGAAAACAGAAAGGGAGGUGGACUAGGGUUUUUAUUUAUUUUUUGGAAUCUCAUAUUUUAAAUUGAAGAAAAUGGUUAGGGAUUUUGGAGGAAUUUAUGGUAGUAUAGUGAUGAGCGGAGGCUGGAGAUUGUGUGGUUAAAUUUCGGGGUGGUUUGGGGUGUCGCCGCCAUCGUAGGCGAUUUCCAGCGGCGAUUCCGGGCGGAGGUGAGAGAGAGGGUGAUAUAGGUUAGAUACGGAGAGCGAGGGGUUCUUUGGGGGAUAGGGGAGUCGGUUAGGACAUAUAUACGGCAUUGGGAAAUCAGUUCCCAGCCGUUAGAUAUUAAUUGAUCAACGACUGAGAUUAGGAGUACAGAAACGGGG
rnacentral:lncRNA from 1 species